UAUGAGCUUGAGUUUUCGUGUUUGAACCAAAUUCCCAUUAUUUUCCCUAAAAUGAUGUUUUUUCGUACUACGUUUCAACUCCAUUCCUCUUCUAAAAACUUAGAGAACUUGAUCUUCAGAUCAGAUGAAUGAGGCCGUUGACAUGAGUAGAUGAGGCCUUAACCACCUCUUGGCACAAUUAGGGCAUGGAGACACAUCGACGCAUCACGACAUCGACGCACGCGGACACACACACCUAUAUCCACAUUCUUAGUAUAAAUCAGCACUAGUAGCGCCCAAAUAACAGGGGCAGUUUUAAUUUGAAGCUAUCAAGCAAGCUCUUCCGAUCUCGAAUAUGAGUAGAAAAUUGAGUGAACAGAAUAGAGAUAAACAAGGAUCCUCUUCGUCUUCCUUUCACCGAUCAGUGUAUUCAGAGAUAGAAGAGGUUGGAUGGGAACAUCUGGUGCAUCUGAGUGAAGACCUUACGCAUAUGACUUUUCGCAUCUUAGACAAGAAAGGACAAUCACAUAUAUUUGAGAUAUAUUUGCCUCAAAGUUAUCCCAAAUGCGCUCCUUCAAUAUCAGCAGACGUGCCAUAUGUUUGUGAGUUGAAAUGGUCCAUAUCAUCAAGACUAAAGGAUGUUGUGCUCCAGGUGCGCGAGCAUUUGGAAAAGCUUCAAGAUUUUUUUUCUAUCAUGGAUGACAUUGAUAAAAAACUCUGGGUUGUUGGUCCAAUACAGCCAUCUCGUGCAACAUCAUUCCGUCAGAUCAAUUUAGGAAAUGACUGUUUUAUCAUGCUGGCUAUAAAUGUUUCUGAUCCACGGUCCUUGCCUGAGUGUCGUCUCUUAGGACCCGAAACAAUCACUGAUAAGAUGAGAAAGACAUGGAGGAGAAAUUGCAAUAGAUGGACAAAGGACAAAUCAAUUGGCGAAAACCUGGAAAAUCUGAUGGAGACUUCGCUUCCUGGACCUCGUCAAUCCACAAUGGAGGAUCAACAAGUUGAAUGUGGCAUAUGCUAUGCUCACUGUCUUCCAAUCAAUGAUGAACUUGGAGCUAAGAGUGGAAGUGGAUCCGACUAUACAUGUGACAAUAGCAGCUGCAGCAGAGCUUUUCAUAGUGUUUGUCUGGGAGAUUGGCUGCGUUCUAUCACAACAACGAGGCAAUCUUUUGAUGUUUUGUUUGGGAACUGCCCCUACUGUUCGGGACCAGUUGCUGUAAAGGUUGACUCCAAUGUAUAGCUUGAGCCAAACCUGACUGGAAAGCAUUUUCAGGUUCAAUAGUUAUUAUGUACAAUCUACUAUUACAAAUGGCUGUAGUAUGAUCAUAUCAACAUCACCAUCAUCGUCUUCUGUAGUUGAUAUCUUGUUCAAUUAUUGGAGGCUUAUGCAGAGUUUUCCAGAAGAAAUGGAGGAAAAUAUCCGUACCGGGAGUCCUGGAUUAAGGUCACCAAGUGCAUGUGUUUAAGGAAUGCUAGCUAGCAUGCAUCUUGGAACAAUAGUGUAGUUCAUCUUGCUAGUUGCUACAAGUUCUAUGUUCUACUGUGUUGAUCGGAUUUGGGUAUGUAGUUUUCUCUUAAAAUCGUUAAAUUCUAUCGCAGUAACAUCAUUACUGCUUUGAGUAGGUGGAAAAUCAUCAAAUACACCCGUUGUUGUCACCUUUUUGAGAAGAUUCAUCUGCACAGGAAACAGACUAAAAAAGAAGACAUAUAGCCCUACCUUAAAGUGUAUUCUUAAUGGCAUCCAAUUAGCCAAGUGGUAAAUAAUGUGAUAGUGAAAGAAUAAAGUAGAUCUAUUGAUUAUGAUUAUGCCGAGUUAAAA